GCAAAUCUCACCCUUGUUCAACCAUGUCUUGCUGAGCAGGCACAUGGGGGCUGAAACCUAAUCAGGCUGAGAGAAAAGGGUGACGUUUGCUAAUUUUCUAAUGUACCUACAUAACUCCUGCAUAAUCUGACAUCAUAUGAAUAUAUCACACUUAAGGCAUUUUCUCAUUGACUUCUACGUGGUUUCUACUUUUCAUUGCUAUAACAAAUAUCCUAAUACAUUUCUCCUGCACUUGUGGGUUCUUUUGAAUUAGAUACCUGAAAUUUUGACUUGAUUUUUUUUUUCUUACAGAAAUUCUGUCAAUGGGACAUGCAUAUAAACUAGAAGAUUUGGUGCCCAGCAUGAAGAAGAGUUCCUUUCAAGUACCUGUAUGUCCCGAAUGUAUUCCUUCCAGUGGGUUCUUGGUCUCGCUGACUUCAAGAAUAAAGCCUUGGACCCUUGUGGUGAGUGUUACAGUUCUUAAAGAUGGUGUAUCUGGGGUUUGUUCCUUCAGAUGUUCAGAUGUGUCCAGAGUUUCUCCAUUCCAGCGGGUUCGUGGUCUCCCUGACUUCAGGAGUGAAAUCGCAGACCUUUGCAGUGAGUGUUAUAGCUCUUAA
rnacentral:lncRNA from 1 species